rnacentral:lncRNA from 1 species
AGGUUAUCCGGGUUUAAACUAAACAAAAAUAAAACAAAGGUGCUGAUAAAAAAUGUAGACGAACAAUCAAAAAAUAAAAUCGAGCUGGAAUCCGGGAUAAAGGUAUCGAAAAAGGUUAAAUAUCUGGGUAUCUGGAUUACCCCAAAAAGUAUAAACCUGGUGGAAGAUAACUAUAACAAAACCUGGAGAGAAUGUAAAAGGGAUUUAGACAGCUGGAGCAGACUACAACUUUCAUGGGAAGGGAGAAUGGCUGCUAUCAAAAUGAAUAUCCUGCCGAAAAUGAUAUUCCUAUUCCAAAAUAUCCCAGUAAUCAGGGGCACAACAAUGUUCAAAGACUGGCAGAAAACCUUGUCCAGGUUCAUCUGGCAAGGUAAAAGGGCCAGAAUUAAGUAUAAGCUGCUCACUGAUAGAAGAGACAGAGGAGGGUUUGCAGUACCGAACCUACAGUUAUAUUAUGAGGCCUCAUGCCUCUGCUGGAUCAAGGAAUGGAUAGUCUUAGAAAACACCGACUUAUUGGAUUUAGAGGGAUUUGACACUAGGUUUGGGUGGCACGCAUACCUGUGGCAGGAUAAAGGGAGAGUGCAUAAAGGAUUUUCUAAUCAUAUAAUAAGAGGAGCGCUGCUGGAGGUAUGGAACAGGUGUAAAAGAUUAGUAGAAAAAGACACCCCAUGGUGGCUGUCACCCAUCGAUAUCCUAGUAAUUAAGAAACUAAACAUGGAAGGUAAGAGGUGGACAUACGCUGAUCUUCUGAGAAGAUCAGACAAAGGCUGGGAAAUUAGACCCUAUGAGGAACUAAAAGACAAACUAACGGGGUGGAUGCAAUACCAUCAAAUCAAUGCCGUCUGGAGGGAACAUAAAAAAGUCGGAAUGAGUAAGAAUAAAUCCAAGUUCCAGCUAGAAAUAAUAGAAGGGAAAUCUAAACUGCUAACUAAAAUGUACAACCAACUAUUAGAUUGGGAUACAAUGGACGAGGAAAUCAAAGAAGUUAUGGUUAAGUGGGCCAUAGACCUAGGACACCCCAUAGAAUAUGAAAGAUGGACAAAACUUUGGAAUAAAGAUAUGAAAUUUUCAGCCUGUGUCAAACUUCGGGAAAAUAUGGAAAAGAUGAUGUACCGGUGGUACAUCACCCCAACAAAAUUAGC